UACAGAGGGUGCGAGCGUUGUCCGGAAUCACUGGGCGUAAAGGGCGCGUAGGUGGCGCGACAAGUCAGUGGUGAAAGCUCGACGCUCAACGUCGAGUCGGCCACUGAUACUGUUGGGCUUGAGCACUGUAGAGGCUAAUGGAAUUCCGGGUGUAGCGGUGGAAUGCGCAGAUAUCAGGAGGAACACCGAUGGCGAAGGCAGCCCCCUGGGUCAAGACUGACGCUCAUGCACGAAAGCGUGGGGAGCAAACAGG
rnacentral:rRNA from 1 species